rnacentral:Y_RNA from 1 species
GCCGGUUCGAGUGCAGUGGCAUUUACAACUCAUUGAUCACAAUCAGUUACAGAUCCUUUGUUCCUUCUCCACUCCCACUGCUUCACUUGACAAGACUUAA